rnacentral:lncRNA from 1 species
GCGCGGCUGGGGAAGAAGCUGGCGGGAAGCCGGGCCGCGCGCCGAGGAAUCGAUGAUUCGGCCUGUGGGCCGGGUCACUGCGGCGGGGCCCGGGGAGCGCCGAUAGCAUGGAUAGGCUCAGAGGGGCGCAGGGUUUUGGCGGCUUCCCGAGUUCCCCUCGCCGACCGCCAUGUCACAUCUUACGGAAGAGGCGGGGGCUGCCGCGGAGAGGAUAUUUUUUGUUUUGUUUUGUUUUCACAAGAAUCACCUGGAUGCUUCUAAAGAGGAUGUCUACCAGACCCCAUGCCGCACUAAUUAGCUCAGAAGUGGGAACCCUUCUGUGGAAUGCAUCAGUUAAAAUCUCAAGAAACCCCGAGGCAGAGGAUUAAGAGAUACUGAAGAGAAGAUGAGUCUGUGUGCAUUUAUCUGUGCUUAGCCUGCUCCGAAUGGGAACUCAGCUCUCAAAUGAAGGUGUGUGUGGUAUGUGAUGGUGGAAGUAACCAGCAGCCAGGCAAAUGGCAGAGCGUGGCCCUUUUCCACCUCCAUGUGUAAUAAUUGCAGGACUCCCUUCCCAGACAAGACUGCUCACUCCUGCAGAAAAUGACCUUGUUCUUGAGAGCUGCUGCUAAUUUACAGUGAGGCACUAGGUUUCUACCCAGUGCCACGUGAGCAACCAAUCCAUCUACCCAGGGGCACGGCACUGACGAGCAGCAUCAUUUAGAAGGAAAGAAGUAUGGGUGGUGUUUGUUGUUUCCUGUGUGUUAAGGAAAAUCCAGUGGCUAGCUCCAUGUUUUGUUCACGUGACUCUCAACCUGGUGUGGCCUGGACUCUAGUCCCUGCCUCAAGGAAAGUCCAGACUGACAUAGAAAAUCCCUGCUCACCAGCCUUGACCUUGGGAGAAAGCCCCUGACCUGUGAGUGGACAGAAGGCCUGGUGGUCAGCCCGUGGGAGCCCUGGAGCGUGCACUGCUGGAGCAGCUCAGAAAAAGCUGAGAAGCCAAGACUUGACUGUCAGUCCUGGAGAAUUAGAACAUGCCUGCUAAAUUUCAGUCCACUCUGAGGAAGGGGCAGUGCCCACAAGGAAACCUAGUGGGUGGGGUUCUGGCUGGGACUCAUCUGGAGUUCCCAGGGCAGAUGCCCGGCCCCAGCUUAUAGACCAUGAUGCGGCUGGGCUUCCGUGUCUGAUUCUUAAGUGCCUCAGGUAAACAGACUCUCCUUUGCUUUGCCAGGAGGAAUGACAUUACUAUCAGCAUUGUAAAAGUCUGUGGCCUUUGGGAGAGUAAUUUUACUUCUAAGACUCUCCUCUACAGAGAAGUGUGCACACUGUUCCCAGUGGAGUCUAUAAAGAUAGCAAAGAGCAAAGACUUAAAACAGAAUGGCUCUGGGUUUGAAGUGUUGUGUAUCUAGACAAUGAACAGCCCACCUUUAAACAAGCCCCACAUGGACUGAAGCGGAGGCAGCUCCAAAUGUAUUAGGUGACAGUGCCACAUGGCUCUGUGUGAUGGUAAGAUUAUAUGUGUACAUGUCAUCUCGAAAGGAGAAUUCGGCUUAUCUCUGGGGAGAGAGUCUGCAUCUUUUCUCAUUUGUACCGAGUAUGGAGUGUGUAUCUAUCUCUCUGUCAGAAAUGUCAAGGGAAGGGUUCACCAUUGACCUGAUGCUCACGAAGGUUAGGAACCAAUGCCAACCACAAUGCCCACCUCUACCUUCAGGAGACAGUAAACGCCUUAGAAUACAAAACCCAUAAACAACCAAGACUGUGGUGCCUGCUGGGGCUGGGCCUGAGCUGCACACAGAGGCUAGGUACCGAACAGCUGCCAUGGUAAACUGGCACAGUUAGGCACGCGGCCGGGUUCACACGCCCUCUGCCCUGACUUUAAAGACAGCAGUCUUGGCCCAGCUUCCCUCACCCCCUAUGUAUGAGCAGAGAGCUAUACUUGCUGGGUUUCCAGCUCUUGUAUUUGGACUCCUCUUCUCUUUUCUCUUUUUUGAGAGAGGGUCUCACUGUGUAUUCGUGGCUGCUCUGGAACUUCCUGGACCAGGCUGGCCUUGAUGUAGAUCUCUGCCUUCUAAAAAAUAAAAAUAUGUUUUAUGUGUAUGAGUGUUUUUUCAGCAUAUAUGUCUGUGCCUGGUGCCCUCAGAAGUCAGAGGAGGACAUUGGGUCCCCUAGAGCUAGAGUUACGGGUGACAGUGAGCCAACCCAGAGGUGCUAGGAACUGAACCUGGGUCCUCUACAAGAGCAGUGGCCUCUUAGUCACUGAGCCAUCUCUCCAACCCUCUUCAUUUU